AGGGUUCGAUUCUGGCUCAGGAUGAACGCUAGCGAUAGGCCUAACACAUGCAAGUCGAGGGGCAGCACAUGAAGUAGCAAUACGGAUGGUGGCGACCGGCGCACGGGUGAGUAACGCGUAUGCAACCUGCCUACAACAGGGGAAUAACCCGUUGAAAGACGGACUAAUACCCCAUGACACAGGGAUCCCGCAUGGGAAUAUUUGUUAAAGAUUAAUCGGUUGUAGAUGGGCAUGCGUUCCAUUAGCUGGUUGGUGAGGUAACGGCUCACCAAGGCAACGAUGGAUAGGGGAACUGAGAGGUUUAUCCCCCACACUGGUACUGAGACACGGACCAGACUCCUACGGGAGGCAGCAGUGAGGAAUAUUGGUCAAUGGACGCAAGUCUGAACCAGCCACGUCCGCGUGAAGGAAGACGGCCCUACGGGUUGUAAACUUCUUUUGUAAGGGAAUAAAGUGCAGUACGCGUACUGUUUUGCAUGUACCUUACGAAUAAGGAUCGGCUAACUCCGUGCCAGCAGCCGC
rnacentral:rRNA from 1 species